rnacentral:rRNA from 1 species
GAUGAACGCUGGCGGCGUGCUUAACACAUGCAAGUCGAACGAAGCACUUUUAUCGAUUUCUUCGGAAUGAAGUUUUAGUGACUGAGUGGCGGACGGGUGAGUAACGCGUGGGUAACCUGCCUCACACAGGGGGAUAACAGUUGGAAACGGCUGCUAAUACCGCAUAAGCGCACAGUACCGCAUGGUACGGUGCGAAAAACUCCGGUGGUGUGGGAUGGACCCGCGUCUGAUUAGCUAGUUGGCAGGGCAACGGCCUACCAAGGCGACGAUCAGUAGCCGACCUGAGAGGGUGACCGGCCACAUUGGGACUGAGACACGGCCCAAACUCCUACGGGAGGCAGCAGUGGGGAAUAUUGCACAAUGGGGGAAACCCUGAUGCAGCGACGCCGCGUGAGCGAAGAAGUAUUUCGGUAUGUAAAGCUCUAUCAGCAGGGAAGAAGAAAUGACGGUACCUGAUUAAGAAGCACCGGCUAAAUACGUGCCAGCCGCCGCCGUAA